rfam:Schistosoma curassoni strain Dakar, Senegal genome assembly, scaffold: SCTD_contig0006420
AUCCGGUUGACGAGUCCUCAACAGGACGAAACUCGGGUCCUCGAU